rnacentral:rRNA from 1 species
GACGAACGCUGGCGGCGUGCUUAACACAUGCAAGUCGAACGGAAAGGCCCUGCUUUUGUGGGGUGCUCGAGUGGCGAACGGGUGAGUAACACGUGAGUAACCUGCCCUUGACUUUGGGAUAACUUCAGGAAACUGGGGCUAAUACCGGAUAGGAGCUCCUGCUGCAUGGUGGGGGUUGGAAAGUUUCGGCGGUUGUGGAUGGACUCGCGGCUUAUCAGCUUGAUGGUGGGGUAGUGGCUUCCCAAGGGUUUGACGGGUAGCCGGCCUGGGAGGGGGGCCGGCCUCAUGGGGCCUGAGAUACGGCCCAGACGCCUACGGGAGGCAGCAGUGGGGAAUAUGGCACAAUGGGCGGAAGCCUGAUGCAGCAACCCCGCGUGCGGGAUGACGGCCUUCGGGUUGUAAACCGCUUUCGCCUGUGACGAAGCGUGAGUGACGGUAAUUGGUAAAGAAGCACCGGCUAACUACGUG